CCGGCUGACUCAGCCCAGGAGGCGCCGGGCUGACUCCGGGGGAAGGUUCGGGCGGAUCGGGCCGUGCAAGGAGGAGGGGCGGCCCCAGCUGCGUCUGACUCAGAGCUGCAGAGAAAGUUCCAGCUUCUCCCGGCUUGUUCUAAGGGCGAGCGGUUGGGGCAGAAUUCAGUGGUCUGGAAGUGAACCCGCAAUCUCUCCAAGGUAUAGCCUGUAUUGUCAAUGAGGUGUGAUGUGAAAACAGCCACCGAAGCUUCCUGGGUUGGCUCCUAGAUGAAGAAUGAGACUCAUGGCAAGGCCCUACAAAGAAUUCUUGACCACUGAUACUUCUGCCAAAUUACCAGGUGUCAAACCUUGCGAGUACAUUUCACAGCUGAAAAAGGCUCCACCUGACAUCUGGUUCUGUACAAGUGCUGGAGACCUCACAAUCAAGCUUACUAGAAUGGGAAACUGCCUGAUGUCGUGUAGACUGCUUACACCCGAGACAUUGGAACAAACAAGAAUCCUGGUCCCUUCCACUCUCAACAUGAAACACCUUCUCCAUUUUGUACCUGCUUCACCAUUCUUUCUAUUAUCACUUGUAAAGAUAAUGUUAUCAUCUGUAUUUCUGGGGCUCUUGCAAAGGGGGAGACCUAUCUGAUUAUUAAGUUUCCCACUGAAGACCCCACUUGGUCUAUGAUGCUGGUGAUCCUGUAGUUGUGCCUGUUACAAACUUCUCCAUGAUUUCUUUUUUUUUUUUUUUUGUGGUAUGCGGGCCUCCCUCUGUUGUGGCCUCUCCUGUUGCGGAGCCUGUCGCGCAGGCUCAGCGGCCAUGGCUCACGGGCCCAGCCGCUCCACGGCAUGUGGGAUCCUCCCAGACCGGGGCGCGAACCCGGUUCCCCUGCAUUGGCAGGCGGACGCGCAACCACUGCGCCACCAGGGAAGCCCUUCUCCAUGAUUUUUAAUGCCUCAGUUUCUCUGGCCAAAUGAGGCACCCUCUCUAUCCUGUUAGACUCCUAACCCUGAC